AGUGAACGCUGGCGGUAGGCCUAACACAUGCAAGUCGAACGGCAGCACAGUAAGAGCUUGCUCUUACGGGUGGCGAGUGGCGGACGGGUGAGGCAUACAUCGGAAUCUACUUUUUCGUGGGGGAUAACGUAGGGAAACUUACGCUAAUACCGCAUACGACCUACGGGUGAAAGCAGGGGAUCUUCGGACCUUGCGCGAUUGAAUGAGCCGAUGUCGGAGUAGCUGGUUGGCGGGGUAAAGGCCCACCAAGGCGACGGUCCGUAGCUGGUCUGAGAGGAUGAUCAGCCACACUGGAACUGAGACACGGUCCAGACUCCUACGGGAGGCAGCAGUGGGGAAUAUUGGACAAUGGGCGCAAGCCUGAUCCAGCCAUACCGCGUGGGUGAAGAAGGCCUUCGGGUUGUAAAGCCCUUUUGUUGGGAAAGAAAAGCAGCAGGUUAAUACCCCGCUGUUCUGACGGUACCCAAAGAAUAAGCACCGGCUAACUUCGUG
rnacentral:rRNA from 1 species